UAUAUAUAUAUAUAUAUAUAUAUAUAUAUAUAUAUAUAUAUAUGCUCAGGUGAGAUCUGCCUUGCAUCAGUCCCUCCGUCUUGGCAGCUGAUUUCUUUCUUUAUUUAUUUAUUUUAAUUUUUUUACCUCGCCACCCCCCCCUUCCAUCUCCCAGCGUCUCUCGCUCCCUUUCUCUUACUGUCCUUCUCUCUUUUGUUUGGCAAGCGGCCAUCUCACCUAAACCAUCACAACCAAUAACCCAUAACUCCUAGACAAGAACACACACACACACACACAUACACACACAUACACACACUCGCCUAGUACCACCUCGGGUCUGCACAUUGGAACACCUGUAGAAUUUAAGCCUGAGCUUUGAACAAAUUCACGGAUUUGUGAACAUUUUCUUGAGGUGUGAGAAGUUUGCAAGCUCUGAUAAGGAUCUUUUGGUGACGGUAAGAGUCAUUGUAUUCAAAAGGAAAGACAAUCGUCACGUGAAUAGUUAACUUUCACCCCAAUAUCCCCCAUGUAUGAUGUUUAGAGAAGCUAAAUUUUUCUAGUGUUAAUUUGUGCUGGUGACAGUUCUAUUGUCUGUUUUUUAUUAUAAUUGUUAUAAUGGUUAUCAUUACCAUUAUUGUUAUCAUUUUCGAUGGUAAUAAUAAUGAUAAUUGAAAGAUUUUUAUGUUCUGCAUUUUUUUGUGUAGGGUAGGUACUUAUUUUAUUUGAAUUUGACUUUAUUUUAUUAUAUAUGAAAUACUAUAUAAAUAUCUUUGUUUUCAGGUUUUUUGAUUUGUUUUAUUUUUAUUUUUCUUCAAAGGGGUGUUGCACGAUUUAUUAAGACAAAACCGUCAGUAGUGAUAUUAGUACUUAUUGGUAACUGAGGGAAGUGAUAAACAAACUGAUAGAGUGACCAGUCAAAUGCUGCAAUUUUUAGUCAAUUGUACAAAACUGUCUCUACACAUAGAAGAGUAGGGAUAGCCACUCAUUUAAUUUAUUCAGAUCAGACACAGAUGUCAAUGCAUGGGCGUAAAAACAAGCAAAGAAUGAGUCAUAUAAUAAUAACUGAAAUGUAAUUUCAUUAAGAAUAUACACCACACACAACUAGAAUAGAAAUUGAAGAAAAAAAGUUUAAUGAAAAAUAGCUAAUAUAUUGUGUUCUGCUAGUAUGCUUUGAGUUUUGUUGUAAACAAAAGAUAUUUUCUGUUGUUUUCGGAGAAUGAUAUACAAUUUGUGUAUAUUUUCAUAAACAAGGUAUGCACUGAUAUGUUAUUACAAAUUAUAUACUGCUUUUACAAAAAAAGUGUUUGUUAUUGUACCAAAGUAUCCAUUUGUCCUUUAUGACCUUCCUCCUCCCCCCUUUUGCGUAUGUUUUACUGUAUUUUAUAUAUUAAAUAGACAAGUUGACCUACAAAGAAGUUCAGGUCUGAUUUUCAGUUCUUUCUUUGUCAGUGUGUCUUAUUGAGUUUGUCCUGAUCAAGCAUUCAAUGCUAAAUCUUUACAGAAAAGUUUUAACUUAUUCGUUAACGUUGAAUGAGCUCUCAGGUCCCUGAUUUAAUCCUGAGCUCAGGUUACUGACUGAAUGGAGUUUCGUAUGUUCUCCCCGUGUCCACUUGGGUUUCCUCUGGGUUUGUCCAGUUUACUCCCAAACACAUUGUUACUCUAAAUUGCUCAUAAUGUGAAUGAGUGUGUGAAUGUGUGUGUGCAUGGUGCUCCAGGGUGUAUUCCCACGUUGAUCCGAGUGUUCCUCGGAUAGGCUCCUGACCCACCGCAACCCUGACAAAGAUAAACCAGAAAUCCAGAUAGACCAGGCUACAUUGUCCAGUUUUGGUGAGCCUGUGUCUUGUGCAGACUCAGCUUUCUGUUCUUGGCUGACAGAUGUGAAACCCGAUGUGGUCUUCUGCUGUUGUAGCACAUUCGCCUCAAGGUUCGAUGUGUUGUGUUUAUUCUGAGAUGCUUUUCUGCUUACCACAAUUGUACAGAGUGGUUAAUUGAGUUACUGUAGCCUUUCUAACAGUUCAAACCAGUCUAGCCAUUCUUCAUUGAUCUCUCUAAUCAACAAGGCAUUUUUGUCUGCAUCUGCUCUCUGGAUGUUUUUUUCUUUACUGCACCAUUC
ensembl:lncRNA